CAGGGUGUGACCGAGCAGCUAGGUAGCUCCCUUACACCGAGCCCACGUCCAUGCAAAUUGGACCACCCUGA
rnacentral:tRNA from 1 species